rnacentral:rRNA from 1 species
UACGUAGGGGGCAAGCGUUGUCCGGAAUCAUUGGGCGUAAAGAGCGUGUAGGCGGUUCGGUAAGUCGGCUGUGAAAGUCCAGGGCUCAACCCUGGGAUGCCGGUCGAUACUGCCGGACUAGAGUUCGGAAGAGGCGAGUGGAAUUCCCGGUGUAGCGGUGAAAUGCGCAGAUAUCGGGAGGAACACCUAUGGCGAAGGCAGCUCGCUGGGACGUUACUGACGCUGAGACGCGAAGCGUGGGGAGCAAACAGG